rnacentral:tRNA from 1 species
GCCUCGAUAGCUCAGUCGAUAGAGCAGAGGACUGAAAAUCCGCGUGUCGCUGGUUCGAUUCCGGCUCGAGGCA